GACAAACCGUGCGAACGUUGUUCGGAAUCACUGGGCUUAAAGGGCGCGUAGGCGGGCUGUCAAGUCUGGGGUGAAAUGCUGCGGCUCAACCGUAGAACUGCCUUAGAUACUGACGGCCUCGAGGAAGGUAGGGGCAUGCGGAACUGUAGGUGGAGCGGUGAAAUGCGUUGAUAUCUACAGGAACUCCGGUGGCGAAAGCGGCGUGCUGGACCUUUUCUGACGCUGAGGCGCGAAAGCUAGGGGAGCAAACGGG
rnacentral:rRNA from 1 species